rnacentral:sRNA from 1 species
UUCUAGCCCCGAGCGAAGUGGAAAUCCUUUUUUUUCCUAAAAAAAAGAUUGCAACGAAGAGCGGGACCGAAA